UACUGUUGUUUGUAUGUAUAUAUUUUGUAUUCUUAUUAACCCCGCUCAAGUAACUUCAAUUGGUUCAACUUUAAUUGGAUUCGCUGCAGAGUUAAGUAAUUAAGUAUGUAUCGUCUAUGUCAUCCUCGAAUAGCAUCAGGCCUAAGAUUGAUGACAUGUUUCUAGAAGCUUCUUGAGAGUCCCUAAAAGGUGCCAAUUCUCGUAGAGUCAAACUUUUUUGUCUGCUAUUGCUAACAGAUUUGUGUUGUGGUCUGAGCUCAGAGCGGUAGGUCACAAUGAAAUCAAAAUGUCGCUAUUUACAUCGUACCUUCAAAACGGACUACGAUCAGUAGGAAAGCAUAAGCUUUUAAUGCCGCUUUGUUUCCAGUAUACAGUGAAUGACACAUCAGGGACAUGUAUUUAUAAUAAAUUCCACAUGGGAUUGUGACAAGGGCUUGUGUAAUGUUGCUGAACAAAAAGUGUUCCCUCAAAUUUCCAAGUUUCUUUGUGUAAAAUCGAUAGGUGACUCUCCCCAAUAAGACGUACAAGUUGAUAUCAGUGGGGCUUCUUUCUUCAAAAUGGGAAGGGCGCGAUACGAGCAAUUUGGAGAGGCGGAUCAGGAGAAUAUGGAGAUAUGAGGAUUGUCUUCACCAUUACCUUCCCUGCUACUAUUCGCAUUUUUAAUGGAAGAUCGAAGUGUCGAUCACAAAUCGUUUCACAGGGAAACGUAUGACAUGUGAGCGAUCAAUACCUGUUAUCCCUGCGAAGGCGCCAACACAAGUAAAAGGCUCGGUAAGACUGCGGUCAUGUAUGUCAUCAAGAUGUAUCAACUGCGACGCCAUUUCAAACUUGAGACGACUAUAUCACCGAGACCCACGCAUUGCAUAGCCAAGUCGGCCAUAUAUGGACGUGCGCUCUCUAGCAGCCAUAACUGCCUAUGAGUAAUGACAAAUCAAUC